CCCAAACAAGAGAAAAACAGACUUUAUGAAAAGAAAAGAAAGAUAAAAAAUGGAAGGGAAGAAAGACAACGGAGUCACUGUGGGGAAGCAGCUUCCCAACAGAAAGCAGUGAAACUUCGACCUGUAGCUGUAAAGGCCAGAUGUGAGAGCUCACUGUAUGGAGGACUUUGGCACUUACAUACUCUUGAGGUGUCACGGUGAUGGGGUUGUGACAUGGUGGUCCAGGGCCAACCUCUGUUGAAAUGUACUGAUUGGACGUUUCAUUCAAGCCUUGAAAGCUGAGGACAGAAAAUGAGGUAAAUGUUGGAGUCAUAUUCCAGCUGCAGAAUAGCUCAAUGAUCUUCUGUGAAUUCCAUGUGUAAUAGCAUUGCAUCAACAUCUCUUGAGAGGACCACAGUUUUGCACCAUAUGUGAGCCUGAAUGUCAAUAUUAAGUAGUUCAUAGAGUCAUUAG